rnacentral:rRNA from 1 species
GACGAACGCUGGCGGCGUGCUUAACACAUGCAAGUCGAACGAUGAAAUAGGAGCUUUCUCCUCUGGAUUAGUGGCGCACGGGUGAGUAACACGUGAGCAAUCUGCACCUGACUCCGGAAUAACUACGGGAAACUGUAGCUAAUAUCGGAUAUGCGCCGAACAGGCAUCUGUAUCGGUGGGAAAGAAUUUCGGUCAGGGAUGGGCUCGCGGCCUACCAGCUUGUUGGUGAGGUAACGGAUCACCAAGGCGACGACGGGUAGCCGGCCUGAGAGGGUGACCGGCCACAUUGGGCCUGAGACACGGCCCAGACGCCUACGGGAGGCAGAAGUGGGGAAUAUUGCACAAUGGGCGCAAGCCUGAUGCAGCAACGCCGCGUGAGGGAUGACGGCCUUCGGGUGAUAAACCUCUUUUAACAGGGAAAAAGCGAAAGUGACGGUACCUGAAGAAAAAGCGCCGGCUAACUACGUG